rnacentral:rRNA from 1 species
UACGGAGGGGGCUAGCGUUGUUCGGAAUUACUGGGCGUAAAGCGUGCGUAGACGGUUACAUAAGUCGGGUGUGAAAGCCCCGGGCUCAACCUGGGAAUUGCAUUCGAGACUGCGUAGCUAGGGUGCGGAAGAGGGAAGCGGAAUUUCCGGUGUAGCGGUGAAAUGCGUAGAUAUCGGAAGGAACACCAGUGGCGAAAGCGGCUUCCUGGUCCAGCACCGACGUUCAGGCACGAAAGCGUGGGGAGCAAACAGG